CUUCCUGUUUGGGUUUAGAGAGGGGAAAGAAGUCACAGUGAGGACUACUGAGCAGGUGUGUUCUCAGCAGUGACCAGGACCAGAGCGACAGCAGCAGACAGUUAAGUCUGUAGCACUCCCUGCUAGUCAUGGCAUCUCUAGGGAAUACACAGAGUCCUGCAGGCAUGGGGGGCUCUCCCAGGAAAAAAAGCACUGUGCCAUGGAGAAAGGCCGAGAAGAUGAAGUUUUAGAAGUACCUGCUAAGUAAUUGAGUUUGGGAUGCAGUUCUGAUUCACACAGACUUGUAACAGCUUUUGCCCUGUGAAGACCAGAUAACAGCAUUAAUGUAGGUUGACAAUAAGAGAACGGAUGGAGUCAGCGAGACCCCAGACCCCACUGCCCAGACCUCCUGACUUACACUCACACCAAUGAGUCUGUCAGGAGAAAGCUGAACAAAUGAACUGCUCUUUAUUCCUAGGUCACUCUCAAAGGUUAGACAACUGAAGAUCACUUGCUCAAAAGAAGAUAGAAAUUAACUCUUACACCUUUUAUCUUUAUUUUGCAGAGUUUUUUUUCUUAUAGAAUUUUUGAGGUCCAAUACAAAACUAAUUAAUUCCUUCAGGAGUUUUAUGGCACAUAGGUGGCUUUUAGAGAUCGAAUUUUCCUCCCCUCCAGAAGACCAGAAUAAAAAUAAAAUUGACCCUCGUGAUCCCAGGAAGUUAUGAUCUAUACAAUCAUCACAACAAUGAAUUCGUGAUCACCAAGCCACUACCCCCAGGGAAUUUUAGUUUUCCUUGGAACUGCAUAGUCUGGUGUUUUAAAGAGACAGAAAGACGACAUGCUGUUCACAGAGCCGACUCAAGUGUGUGAAGGAGGACAGGAGCACACAUCUACCCAAGUGUUUGCUGGCCUACCCAGCCAUCGGCCAUUUUCUGCAGGAGUUUCCUGGAACUUAGUCCUGAGAGCGAUCAAGCUUUACCUUUACUCUGCAAAUCAGCACUCCUCUCCUUUAAUAAGAAGACAAGGACGGCUUGAUUUUUAUUACUCUAGAAUAUACAGUGUAUGUUUAAACGCUGCAUAGAGCUUGGGCAUUUGUGAUAAGAUAAUAAAAUAAAACAUAUUUUUAUAUAUG